rnacentral:rRNA from 1 species
CCUACGGGAGGCAGCAGUGGGGAAUAUUGGUCAAUGGGGGAAAGCCUGAACCAGCGAAGUCGCGUGAGUGAAGAAGGAUCUAGGUAUGGAAAGCUUCUUUAGUAGGAAAGAAAAUGACGGUACGUAACUCAGAAGUAAUGGAUAACGAGGUGCCAGCAGCCGCGGUAAUACGGAGGGGGCAAGCGUUAUCCGGAUUUAUUGGGUGUAAAGGGAGCGUAGUCGGCAGCGCAAGUCUGGAGGGAAAGGUCGGGGCCCAACCCAAGAACUGCACUUGAAACUGUGAGGCUUGAGUGCAGGAGAGGUAAGCGGAAUUCGUGGUGUAGCGGUGAAAUGCGUAGAUAUCAGGAAGAACACC